rnacentral:tRNA from 1 species
AGCCAAUUAGCUUAAUUAAAAGCAUUUACUUUGAAAGUAAAAGAUAGAAUAAAUUUAUUGGCUU